GGAGGGGGAGGGCGCGGAGCCCUGCCGGCGGCCGGAGGACCGGCGGGCGCUGACUGCGACCACCAAUCUCGGGCAGCGGACGCGCUGCUUUGGAAGAUGAGUGGAAAACUACAAUUAAAAAAACAUAGCCAUGAAAAUAAGUGAGAUUAAAACCUGCCGGCUUCACUUCCUGGAGGCUUUUUGUUGGGUCUUGAAACUAGGAGUCUUUGCGGGUCAUCCUUAAAUUCACCUUGACAGAUUCAACCAAUGAGAAACUGAGUCUGCGUACAUUCCCUAAAGACAGGCGCUAUGGAAUGUCCGGAUUCCCUCCAUUCUGCAUUUGCCCAAG